CGUAGGUGGCAAGCGUUGUCCGGAUUUAUUGGGUUUAAAGGGUGCGUGGGCGGUCUUGUAAGUCAGUGGUGAAAUACGGCAGCUUAACUGUCGAGGUGCCAUUGAUACUGCAGGACUUGAGUACAGACGAGGUAGGCGGAAUUGACGGUGUAGCGGUGAAAUGCUUAGAUAUCGUCAAGAACACCGAUAGCGAAGGCAGCUUACUAGACUGUAACUGACGCUGAUGCACGAAAGUGUGGGGAUCAAACAGGAUUAGAUACCCUGGUAGUCCACACUGUAAACGAUGAUUACUCGAUGUUGGCGAUACACAGCCAGCGUCUUAGCGAAAGCGAUAAGUAAUCCACCUGGGGAGUACGCCGGCAACGAUG
rnacentral:rRNA from 1 species